UGAAACAAAGGGCAGUCCUCAGCACA
rnacentral:piRNA from 1 species